GAUGAAGAACGCAGCGAAAUGCGAUAAGUAAUGUGAAUUGCAGAAUUCAGUGAAUCAUCGAAUCUUUGAACGCACAUUGCGCCCGCCAGUAUUCUGGCGGGCAUGCCUGUUCGAGCGUCAUUACAACCCUCAGGCCCCCGGGCCUGGCGUUGGGGAUCGGCGGAGCCCCCCGUGGGCACACGCCGUCCCCCAAAUACAGUGGCGGUCCCGCCGCAGCUUCCAUCGCGUAGUAGCUAACACCUCGCGACUGNNNNNNGGCGCGGCCACGCCGUAAAACACCCAACUCUUCUGAAGUUGACCUCGAAUCAGGUAGGAAUACCCGCUGAACUUAAGCAUAUCAAUAAGCGGAGGA
rnacentral:misc_RNA from 1 species